GAUGAACGCUGGCGGCGUGCCUAAUACAUGCAAGUCGAGCGAACAGACGAGGAGCUUGCUCCUCUGACGUUAGCGGCGGACGGGUGAGUAACACGUGGAUAACCUACCUAUAAGACUGGGAUAACUUCGGGAAACCGGAGCUAAUACCGGAUAAUAUAUUGAACCGCAUGGUUCAAUAGUGAAAGACGGUUUUGCUGUCACUUAUAGAUGGAUCCGCGCCGCAUUAGCUAGUUGGUAAGGUAACGGCUUACCAAGGCAACGAUGCGUAGCCGACCUGAGAGGGAGAUCCGACACACUGGAACUGAGACACGGUCCAGACUCCUACGGGAGGCAGCAGUAGGGAAUCUUCCGCAAUGGGCGAAAGCUUGACGGAGCAACGCCGCGUGAGUGAUGAAGGUCUUCGGAUCGUAAAACUCUGUUAUUAGGGAAGAACAAAAGUGUAAGUAACUAUGCACGUCUUGACGGUACCUAAUCAGAAAGCCCCGGCUAACUACGUG
rnacentral:rRNA from 1 species